AUAAUUACACAGUGAGGUCAUGUGUUUACCAUACCAUUGUUCCAUCGCCAUGGAGAUGAUGAGCGACAAAGCACUGGCAAGAAGCCUCCCAUGCAGGAUGAAGCCAAGGAAGAAGAGAAGAGAGGAAGGACACGCCCAUUAACCAAAGGACCCAAAACAUAUCUCAAGGAGCUCAUGAAGUCAUCCUCAUGCACACAGUUUCCCAGGUGUCAGAUCUGUUUGGUAAGCACAUAACCUUCCAACCCAGCUCAGCAUGUAGCUGCACCCAACAAGCAGCCUCUGGGGCCACAAACCUAAGAAGAACAUCAUGUGAGGAUGAAGGCAGAGAGCAGGGUGAUGCAGCUGAAGCCAAGGACACUGAAGACUUCCUGCAAACCCCCAGAAGCUGGGGCAGAGGCCCUCCAGUCUCCAGAAGAGGCCAACCAUGCUGAUACCUUGACCUUGGACUCCUAGCCCCAGAACUAUGAGAAAUAAAUUUCUGUUAUUUAAGUCACUCAGUUGUCUUACUUGGUUGUGGCAGCCCUGAGAGGCUAAUUCUCAGCGCUUUCUCUGAAUGUCCUCAACACUCUCCUGGUUCUCCUCCUGCCUCAAAAGCACU
rnacentral:lncRNA from 1 species